rnacentral:rRNA from 1 species
CAGUCGCCACGGGAAUACGUAGGUGGCAAGCGUUGUCCGGAAUUAUUGGGCGUAAAGGGCUCGCAGGCGGUUUCUUAAGUCUGAUGUGAAAGCCCCCGGCUCAACCGGGGAGGGUCAUUGGAAACUGGGAAACUUGAGUGCAGAAGAGGAGAGUGGAAUUCCACGUGUAGCGGUGAAAUGCGUAGAGAUGUGGAGGAACACCAGUAGCGAAGGCGACUCUCUGGUCUGUAACUGACGCUGAGGAGCGAAAGCGUGGGGAGCGAACAGGAUUAGAUACCCCAGUAGUCCCUGUCUCUUAUAC